rnacentral:lncRNA from 1 species
GGCUACAAUCCACACAGGGCUCAUACAGGGCACACCGAAGCAAGAAAAAAAGAGGCUCCUCUGAUGCUUGGUUUCUCCACCUGAGCCAGCGAUGCAUCUUUCCUUUCCCAGGGGCCGAUUGAAUAAUGAGGACAUGUGGGCCAGGAAGAAGUCAAGGAGCCUCCCGCUGGUCCCUGGAGGCAUUUAUAGCUCCAAGUCAGAGUAGUAGUAAGCGAGCUGCAGUUUCUCUUUUUAAGAACCAGAGGUGGCUGUCAAGGUGCUGGCUGUGGAGUCUCAGAACUAUGCUCUCCAAGGUCCCUGUUUCCUCCACCUCUACUGGUCAGUAGCUACAGCCUGGUCCAAUUUUGUUCUCCCAGAACUCAAUAACCCAUCUAACCCUUACCCAAUGAAUUACUCAUAUCCUCUCCUCCUUAACUUUGUAGAACUUGUCCAUAUCAGAAGUUGUGUGACCAACCUCAGAAGACCAACAGUGACUGGGAGUGUUAGCGAAG